GCAGAUGUGGCGUAAUUGGUAGCCGCGCCAGACUUAGGAUCUGGUGUCGAGAGACGUGGGGGUUCGAGUCCCCCCAUCUGCA
rnacentral:tRNA from 1 species